rnacentral:rRNA from 1 species
CAGUCGCCGCGGUAAUACAGAGGGUGCGAGCGUUAAUCGGAUUUACUGGGCGUAAAGCGUGCGUAGGCGGCUUUUUAAGUCGGAUGUGAAAUCCCUGAGCUUAACUUAGGAAUUGCAUUCGAUACUGGGAAGCUAGAGUAUGGGAGAGGAUGGUAGAAUUCCAGGUGUAGCGGUAAAAUGCGUAGAGAUCUGGAGGAAUACCGAUGGCGAAGGCAGCCAUCUGGCCUAAUACUGACGCUGAGGUACGAAAGCAUGGGGAGCAAACAGGAUUAGAUACCCCAGUAGUCCCUGUCUCUUAUAC